ensembl:lncRNA
AUUUAUUUGAAGAUGUCUGAGGACCCACACGAGUAGGGAGUUUCCUGAGUGAUUCUUCUGUGUGAGCCUGGAAAACUGAAGGAGACCAUUAUUAUGCAAAGCAUUCUGGCGCAAAUGGCAUCACAUAUCUCCUAGGAUAGGGGAUUUCUUGAAAAAGAAAAGAAAAACGAGGCAUUCAGUGUUCGGGAUUCUCAGUGAAAACCAUCGCUGUGCUUGCCAAUACUUCAGUGACUACCCACUGUUGUUCUAUGCCCCAUUGCCUGUGGUGUAUCUACUUUCUGCAGCCUGUAAACUUUUGAAGUAAACCUCAAACUUCCUAUUAUUUCAUCUCU